GCCUGGCACCACAUUCACCGCUUUCCAACGCAAAUGAGAGAAGACAGAAAAUGGUUCGGAUGAAAACUUGAAUGGUUUGCCUGAGGGGCGUUGCCUGAACUCAGUAUGAGACAGCAUUCUUAGCCACGAUUCCUAACAACUCCGCCCGUCAAGUCACUGGUAAGCACCCCAGCCCUUUUAACAGCCCCGGGAACAAUUGCCGCUCGUUAGAUCCUUGCCUUAUAGGCGUUUUUGUUUUUGUUUUUGCUUUCUCUUUUCUCUUUCCCUUUAGAAUAGUAACCUCCCAAGGCGAUCUUGGUAAGAAUGCAUUGGAACUUCUAGAAAAUAGUAUGCCACAAGAGAUCUCCAUAACUAGCGCCGGUUCAUAGUAGAAGUUGCUAUUUCUCUAAUUAUGUAACAAUUGCUGGACCUGAAAUAGGACGCUCAUGGUUGUACAGUACAUGCUGUUCUCGAGGCCUGUUGUCCUACCCUUCUCAGUAAAGGAUAUAAUCAAUAACCU
rnacentral:sRNA from 1 species